rfam:Gossypium arboreum cultivar AKA8401 contig_13282_1, whole genome shotgun sequence.
UGUUAAAAAUUUCAUCCAAUUCUAUUGCUAAAUACUAACAUUACUAACGGAAUAACCGAACAAUUUCACUAGGUAUGCUAUGUGUAUCUUAUUCAGACAUAUAGAGACUAAUUUUAAUAGUAGAAAUAGAUGGAACUUUUAACA